rnacentral:tRNA from 1 species
GGGCGUGUGCCCGAGUGGCCAAAGGGGACGGGCUGUAAACCCGUUGGCUUACGCCUUCGGUGGUUCGAAUCCACCCGCGCCCA